GUGAGUAAUGCUUGGGAACUUGCCUUAAGGUGGGGGAUAACAGUUGGAAACGACUGCUAAUACCGCAUAAUGUCUACGGACCAAAGGGGGCUUCGGCUCUCGCCUUGAGAGAGGCCCAAGUGAGAUUAGCUAGUUGGUGGGGUAAAGGCCUACCAAGGCAACGAUCUCUAGCUGUUCUGAGAGGAAGAUCAGCCACACUGGGACUGAGACACGGCCCAGACUCCUACGGGAGGCAGCAGUGGGGAAUAUUGCACGAUGGGGGAAACCCUGAUGCAGCCAUGCCGCGUGUGUGAAGAAGGCCUUCGGGUUGUAAAGCACUUUCAGUUGUGAGGAAAGGUUGGUAGUUAAUACCUGCCAGCUGUGACGUUAACAACAGAAGAAGCACCGGCUAACUCCGUGCCAGCAGCCGCGGUAAUACGGAGGGUGCGAGCGUUAAUCGGAAUUACUGGGCGUAAAGCGCACGCAGGCGGCUUGUUAAGCUAGAGGUGAAAGCCCCGCGCUCAACGUGGGAACUGCCUUUAGAACUGGCAGGCUAGAGUCUUGGAGAGGG
rnacentral:rRNA from 1 species